AUAUGCGGAGGCAGGGAUCAUUAAGCUGAAUUAGUGUAAGUCUGGCUGCAAAGAGAGCCGCAGUCGCUACUUAGUCGAUAGAUCCGCUGAAAAAUGGAUUCAAUGAUCGAUGUCUCGCUAACAAACCUCGAACCGUCUCCGGUUAAGCCGCUUAGGGAUGAAGAAAUGUGUAAAGACACGAAGGCAACAAUUCUUGAAGAAGGCAGUUCUUUGGAACCAGAAACAGUUGAUUCGAAAGACUGCGUGUGCACUCCCGAAAAGCAUCGCCUAUCGUCAGAUUGUGCUGAAGCAAUCACGCGCUGUGCGCGUGUUGUGAAACAGCAUUAUGGUGAGGACCUCAUGGAGGCCGCGACGACGUUGCAGAGCCUAUGUAACGUACAAGAUACGUCACUAGAGCUCAUUGAAAAUCGCCAUCGUGAAUUGGUAGAUAUUCGGGAGACGUAUCAACUCGAGGAAGUAAUUGAAGAAACCCAGAAUUAUUACAACAAAAUGCUUCGGUUAAAAAAGGAGAUGCUGGCCCUUACUGCAAAAUCAAAGGAGUUAACAAAACGGGCAGCUUACGUGAGGGAUGUGCGCGCCAAGGAGCAGGCUAAAAAAGAUGAGGAACGCAAACGGAUAGAACAAUUAGAAAAAGAGCUCGAACCACGUUAUGCGAGCGGCCUUUCAAAUUAGGACCCCGACCACCUGACAACAAUGACCUAUAUAGGGAUCGAUAAACGACUGCGUUUCGAACAUACGUGGAACAUAUGGAUAACUGGAUGGUGUCUGUGACAAUUUUAUCGAGGAGUAGAAGGAACUAAGUGGCAUCGGAGUACAACGUCGGCUAAGUUUAUGUAUGUAUAUGUAAUUGCAAAAGGCAAGCAGCAGGCGAACGAGCGAGAACAGGUCCUAAAUAGGCGCGCGAGUGAGCAGAGUACUUUGUGGCGGUAAUUGUUGUUGAUGGCAGAGACAGUGACGGGUUUCUUAACCAUACGGAGAAUGGGAGUGAGGAAGCAAACGAUACGGAAUGAAUUCAGGCGAGAAUAAGUCCCGUCUACUCAUAGAUGAGAUGAAGGAACGCGGAAAGGAGUAGGGGUCUUGUUGACAACACGGCACUUCAAGAAAACUAGCUUGGUCGUUUUCUUCUCUCUUGUCCUGAUGCGCCGUAUAGUAGGCCGAUAAUCCAUUGCUUUCAAGAACAAAUCUGCUCAGGUGUCUAUAAAUGUAAGCAUUGUCAAGACGUUUAUUAGAAGCAGGUAGAUGUUUGCACCGAAACCUCCCUAACCUCCGUUGGCAGCUCUGAGUUCCUGAUUUUGAGCUAACGUUCUUUUGUGAACAUCUGGAGUAGCCAGCAACGCGUGAAAAAUAUAGCAUCAUAAAAACGAGUAGUCCAACUUAGUUAAAUUGCCAGAGUGACAGCAUGACUUAAUAGUGUAAGGCGUGUCUUUAUUUAUACUGCACUGAUGGUGCGACCGGUGUAUUUGAUAUAUGAAAGGUUUAUAACCCACAGCUGUGGCAACUACAAAAAAGAAGACAAAAUAAUAGAAAAGCAUAGCUGGAAUAGGUGCAUAUUGUCUUAUACUUUCCUGUUUCCAUUUCAUAUCUUGCAAGCGAUUGAGUAUGCAAAAGCAAUCCAGUGACCUACUUCCGUACAUUCAGAGGUGAACUUUGAAAACCGCCUUCAGUUUGUUUUGUAAAGGGCAAAAAGCCUUAUUACAGAUAUUCACGAGUAGAAGAUGUAACUUACUGCUAUUAUCUUUUAUUCUCCUAAAAAUCCCUAAAUCAUUAUAUUAAUUUUAAAGUUUUAGCUCUUUAAAACCAAUAAAUAACCGCAUUUGAAUGGGGAGAUCGAGCUGUCAUAGAUACGACACUAGGACAUGCCGUUUCCAUCGUGGUUGUACGUGUACUCUUAAAUAUAACGAAUGUAGUUCUUUGGGAUAUAUGAAUUCAUCAGUAAUUCCACACAUUUUUUUUUUGUUUUUAUAGCACAUAUCAUUCAAACCUAUUCAUUAUACAUAUUAUGGUGAAAACGAGCAUUUGAAGAUGAACGGUUUGCUAUGCUGGAUGUACUCAAUGCCUUCACUAUGUUCAAGUCACGAGUGAUUAUAAUAAAUAAAUAAAAUAAGCCGUUCGUGACGUUUACUGGUGUGGCUUGUGCGGUCCGUUAAUGGCUGUUGUUCGCUUGUAAUUGUCGAUUGUACCCACGAGUAAUAACAAAUAACGUGGCGCUUUCAAUCCACACGAACAGGCUUUACUGCCUUGUCGUCUGCUCCGCUACACUUUCCCACCGAAGGGUCACCUAAGCCACAGAUAGGACUACUAGGUCUCGCACAGCCACUUACCAGAAAACGACACGUGUCGUAGACUUCAUAUAUAUCUGAACACUCUAAAGGUAAUCAAUAGUGAAAUAAUCGAAAAUAAAUAUCGGUAAAGUUGUCAGAGAAAUUCAGCUUCUAGUGGCACUUACCACUUGUUGACGCUACGGUAUUACAUACAAGGAUGACGAUGUCCAUUUGUUGACACUGAUGAUUGAAAUUUUAAAAUUGGUGGGAUUGCUGUUCAAAAGGUCUUCUGCCAAAGUCAAUAAAUAUAUGCAAUAGGGUCGUGCAACUGCUAUUUUAUGUUGGUGCUUGUUGUUACGAAGCACGUAGAGAGUGCUUAAACAUUAUGCAAUACUUUACAUUGGUAUGGAGAAAAAUUCAGCGAAAAAAUAUACCAGGAAAUGUCAUGCUUAGUUUGAUAUUGUGAACCAGCGAGAUUUCAAGCUAGAAUUGUCACUUAAAAGAAACAAAAGUAUCUUAAUAUAUUUUUAAAGCGAAUUAAAUGAUCCUCAAACCUUGGUGAACGUC